AUACGGGGGGUGCAAGCGUUAUUCGGAUUUAUUGGGCGUAAAGAGCGCGUAGGCGGCUUGGUAAGUCAGAUGUGAAAGCCCGGGGCUCAACCCCGGAAGUGCAUUUGAAACUAUCAGGCUUGAGUAUGGGAGAGGGAAGUGGAAUUCCUGGUGUAGAGGUGAAAUUCGUAGAUAUCAGGAGGAACACCGGUGGCGAAGGCGACUUCCUGGACCAAUACUGACGCUGAGGCGCGAAGGCGUGGGGAGCAAACAGGAUUAGAAACCCCUGUAGUCC
rnacentral:rRNA from 1 species